GAUUCAAGCCCUAAGCCGAAGGGCUUUUCAUACAACAUCAAGCAACAAUGUUCUGAAUUUCCAUGAAACCGAGCAGCACACCAAUUUGUCUUGCCUGAUACCAAAUUGAAAGACCAAAACUAUUCAAGGUUUGGAAACAUUUUUAUCAAGAAUUUAGGCAGGGCUAUUAACCUCAAAGCAUUGCAUGAUGAUUUCUCUGCAUUUACGAGCAUCCUAUCUUGAAAGCUUGUAGAGUCAUCUGGGAUGUUGCAGAAGCUUCCAAACUUUGACGGAUCUUGACCCAUCUCCGCCGAAUCUUACAGAAGCGACUUCGGAUGGAAGUUCCGACGACGAGAAUGUGUCAGUCGGCGUUCUGCGUAUCUGCGGGGAGGUGAAGAUAGCGGAAUCUGUUGAAUUUCUUUCCGUAUUGUGAUCCGGGUAGUGAUUUGACCUGAAUGGAUCUUGGCUUCUAGGCCACUCCAGGCGACCGGACUUGUACCGAUGCAGUCGCUUGGAGGUCUUCUGUGGAUUGGCGGUCUCUUGUUUCACAAUUUUUUUUAAACAUAGAUGUUACACAGGUGGAGGGCGCAUAUUUUGAAAACCAAUUUGGCGAUCUCUGCACAUAUUGAAGGGAAAACCAAUCUGACGAAUGUCUUUGAUGAAUGUAUGCAGUUCAUCCGAUUGUUUUAGAGCUUGGCAAACCUUCUUAUAUGAUUUCAGCAGUAAUCUGCGCUGCCAUCUACUUCACCAUAGGCAUUAUCGGGUACCUUUUGUUUGGAGAAUCA
rnacentral:misc_RNA from 1 species